UGCGCAGGCGGCUUCCUAAGUCAGAUGUGAAAUCCCCGGGCUCAACCUGGGAACUGCGUUUGAAACUGGGAGGCUAGAGUGCGGCAGAGGGGGGUGGAAUUCCACGUGUAGCAGUGAAAUGCGUAGAUAUGUGGAGGAACACCGAUGGCGAAGGCAGCCCCCUGGGCCAGCACUGACGCUCAUGCACGAAAGCGUGGGGAGCAAACA
rnacentral:rRNA from 1 species